UACGUAGGGCGCAAGCGUUGUCCGGAAUUAUUGGGCGUAAAGAGCUCGUAGGCGGCUUGUCACGUCGGGUGUGAAAGCCCGGGGCUUAACCCCGGGUCUGCAUUCGAUACGGGCUGGCUAGAGUGUGGUAGGGGAGAUCGGGAUUCCUGGUGUAGCGGUGAAAUGCGCAGAUAUCAGGAGGAACACCGGUGGCGAAGGCGGGUCUCUGGGCCGAUACUGACGCUGAGGAGCGAAAGCGUGGGGAGCGAACAGG
rnacentral:rRNA from 1 species